rnacentral:rRNA from 1 species
AGUGAACGCUGGCGGCAGGCCUAAUACAUGCAAGUCGAACGGCAGCACAGCAGAGCUUGCUCUGUGGGUGGCGAGUGGCGGACGGGUGAGGAAUACGUGGGAAUCUGCCCAGUCGUGGGGAUAACGUAGGGAAACUUACGCUAAUACCGCAUGCGCCCUUCGGGGAAAGCCGGGGACCUUCGGGCCUGGCGCGAUUGGAUGAGCCCACGUCGGAUUAGCUAGUUGGCGGGGUAAAGGCCCACCAAGGCGACGAUCCGUAGCUGGUCUGAGAGGAUGAUCAGCCACACUGGAACUGAGACACGGUCCAGACUCCUACGGGAGGCAGCAGUAGGGAAUAUUGGACAAUGGGCGCAAGCCUGAUCCAGCCAUGCCGCGUGAGUGAAGAAGGCCCUCGGGUGUAAGCUCUUUUGUCCGGAAAGAAAGCGCCGGGUUAAUACCCUGGUGUCCUGACGGUACCGGAAGAAUAAGCACCGGCUAACUUCGUGCCAGCAGCCGCGGUAAU